GAUGAACGCUGGCGGCGUGCCUAAUACAUGCAAGUCGAGCGAACGGACGAGAAGCUUGCUUCUCUGAUGUUAGCGGCGGACGGGUGAGUAACACGUGGAUAACCUACCUAUAAGACUGGGAUAACUUCGGGAAACCGGAGCUAAUACCGGAUAAUAUUUUGAACCGCAUGGUUCAAAAGUGAAAGAUGGUUUUGCUAUCACUUAUAGAUGGACCCGCGCCGUAUUAGCUAGUUGGUAAGGUAACGGCUUACCAAGGCGACGAUACGUAGCCGACCUGAGAGGGUGAUCGGCCACACUGGAACUGAGACACGGUCCAGACUCCUACGGGAGGCAGCAGUAGGGAAUCUUCCGCAAUGGGCGAAAGCCUGACGGAGCAACGCCGCGUGAGUGAUGAAGGGUUUCGGCUCGUAAAACUCUGUUAUUAGGGAAGAACAAACGUGUAAGUAACUGUGCACGUCUUGACGGUACCUAAUCAGAAAGCCACGGCUAACUACGUG
rnacentral:rRNA from 1 species